GACGAACGCUGGCGGCGUGCUUAACACAUGCAAGUCGAACGAUGAAGCCUUAGCUUGCUUUGGUGGAUUAGUGGCGAACGGGUGAGUAACACGUGAGCAACGUGCCCAGGACUCUGGAAUAACCGCGGGAAACCGUGGCUAAUACCGGAUAGGUGCCGAGGCCGCAUGGUCUUCGGUUGGAAAGUUUUUGCGGUUCUGGAACGGCUCACGGCCUAUCAGCUUGUUGGUGGGGUAAUGGCCUACCAAGGCGACGACGGGUAGCCGGCCUGAGAGGGUGACCGGCCAAACGGGGACUGAGACACGGCCCAGACUCCUACGGGAGGAAGCAGUGGGGAAUAUUGCACAAUGGGCGAAAGCCGGAUGCAGCAACGCCGCGUGGGGGAUGACGGCCUUCGGGUUGUAAACCUCUUUUAGUAGGGAAGAAGCGCAAGUGACGGUACCUGCAGAAAAAGCACCGGCUAACUACGU
rnacentral:rRNA from 1 species